GAUGAACGCUGGCGGCGUGCCUAAUACAUGCAAGUCGAGCGAACAGACGAGGAGCUUGCUCCUCUGACGUUAGCGGCGGACGGGUGAGUAACACGUGGAUAACCUACCUAUAAGACUGGGAUAACUUCGGGAAACCGGAGCUAAUACCGGAUAAUAUAUUGAACCGCAUGGUUCAAUAGUGAAAGACGGUUUUGCUGUCACUUAUAGAUGGAUCCGCGCCGCAUUAGCGAGUUGGUAAGGUAAAGGCUUACGAAGGCAACGAUGCGUAGCCGACCUGAGAGGGGGAUCGGCCACCCUGGAACUGAGACACGGUCCAGACUCCUACGGGAGGCCGCAGUAGGGAAUCUUCCGCAAUGGGCGAAAGCUUGACGGAGCAACGCCGCGUGAGUGAUGAAGGUCUUCGGAUCGUAAAACUCUGUUAUUAGGGAAGAACAAAUGUGUAAGUAACUAUGCACGUCUUGACGGUACCUAAUCAGAAAGCCACGGCUAACUACGUG
rnacentral:rRNA from 1 species